rnacentral:rRNA from 1 species
UUCGACACACUAUCAUUAACUGAAUCCAUAGGUUAAUGAGGCGAACCGGGGGAACUGAAACAUCUAAGUACCCCGAGGAAAAGAAAUCAACCGAGAUUCCCCCAGUAGCGGCGAGCGAACGGGGAGGAGCCCAGAGCCUGAAUCAGUGUGUGUGUUAGUGGAAGCGUCUGGAAAGGCGCGCGAUACAGGGUGACAGCCCCGUACACAAAAAUGCACAUGCUGUGAGCUCGAUGAGUAGGGCGGGACACGUGGUAUCCUGUCUGAAUAUGGGGGGACCAUCCUCCAAGGCUAAAUACUCCUGACUGACCGAUAGUGAACCAGUACCGUGAGGGAAAGGCGAAAAGAACCCCGGCGAGGGGAGUGAAAAAGAACCUGAAACCGUGUACGUACAAGCAGUAGGAGCACAGAGCAAUCUGUGUGACUGCGUACCUUUUGUAUAAUGGGUCAGCGACUUAUAUUCUGUAGCAAGGUUAACCGAAUAGGGGAGCCGAAGGGAAACCGAGUCUUAACUGGGCGUUAAGUUGCAGGGUAUAGACCCGAAACCCGGUGAUCUAGCCAUGGGCAGGUUGAAGGUUGGGUAACACUAACUGGAGGACCGAACCGACUAAUGUUGAAAAAUUAGCGGAUGACUUGUGGCUGGGGGUGAAAGGCCAAUCAAACCGGGAGAUAGCUGGUUCUCCCCGAAAGCUAUUUAGGUAGCGCCUCGUGAAUUCAUCUCCGGGGGUAGAGCACUGUUUCGGCAAGGGGGUCAUCCCGACUUACCAACCCGAUGCAAACUGCGAAUACCGGAGAAUGUUAUCACGGGAGACACACGGCGGGUGCUAACGUCCGUCGUGAAGAGGGAAACAACCCAGACCGCCAGCUAAGGUCCCAAAGUCAUGGUUAAGUGGGAAACGAUGUGGGAAGGCCCAGACAGCCAGGAUGUUGGCUUAGAAGCAGCCAUCAUUUAAAGAAAGCGUAAUAGCUCACUGGUCGAGUCGGCCUGCGCGGAAGAUGUAACGGGGCUAAACCAUGCACCGAAGCUGCGGCAGCGACACUGUGUGUUGUUGGGUAGGGGAGCGUUCUGUAAGCCUGUGAAGGUGUGCUGUGAGGCAUGCUGGAGGUAUCAGAAGUGCGAAUGCUGACAUAAGUAACGAUAAAGCGGGUGAAAAGCCCGCUCGCCGGAAGACCAAGGGUUCCUGUCCAACGUUAAUCGGGGCAGGGUGAGUCGACCCCUAAGGCGAGGCCGAAAGGCGUAGUCGAUGGGAAACAGGUUAAUAUUCCUGUACUUGGUGUUACUGCGAAGGGGGGACGGAGAAGGCUAUGUUGGCCGGGCGACGGUUGUCCCGGUUUAAGCGUGUAGGCUGGUUUUCCAGGCAAAUCCGGAAAAUCAAGGCUGAGGCGUGAUGACGAGGCACUACGGUGCUGAAGCAACAAAUGCCCUGCUUCCAGGAAAAGCCUCUAAGCAUCAGGUAACAUCAAAUCGUACCCCAAACCGACACAGGUGGUCAGGUAGAGAAUACCAAGGCGCUUGAGAGAACUCGGGUGAAGGAACUAGGCAAAAUGGUGCCGUAACUUCGGGAGAAGGCACGCUGAUAUGUAGGUGAAGUCCCUCGCGGAUGGAGCUGAAAUCAGUCGAAGAUACCAGCUGGCUGCAACUGUUUAUUAAAAACACAGCACUGUGCAAACACGAAAGUGGACGUAUACGGUGUGACGCCUGCCCGGUGCCGGAAGGUUAAUUGAUGGGGUCAGCGCAAGCGAAGCUCUUGAUCGAAGCCCCGGUAAACGGCGGCCGUAACUAUAACGGUCCUAAGGUAGCGAAAUUCCUUGUCGGGUAAGUUCCGACCUGCACGAAUGGCGUAAUGAUGGCCAGGCUGUCUCCACCCGAGACUCAGUGAAAUUGAACUCGCUGUGAAGAUGCAGUGUACCCGCGGCAAGACGGAAAGACCCCGUGAACCUUUACUAUAGCUUGACACUGAACAUUGAGCCUUGAUGUGUAGGAUAGGUGGGAGGCUUUGAAGUGUGGACGCCAGUCUGCAUGGAGCCGACCUUGAAAUACCACCCUUUAAUGUUUGAUGUUCUAACGUGGACCCGUGAUCCGGGUUGCGGACAGUGUCUGGUGGGUAGUUUGACUGGGGCGGUCUCCUCCUAAAGAGUAACGGAGGAGCACGAAGGUUGGCUAAUCCUGGUCGGACAUCAGGAGGUUAGUGCAAUGGCAUAAGCCAGCUUGACUGCGAGCGUGACGGCGCGAGCAGGUGCGAAAGCAGGUCAUAGUGAUCCGGUGGUUCUGAAUGGAAGGGCCAUCGCUCAACGGAUAAAAGGUACUCCGGGGAUAACAGGCUGAUACCGCCCAAGAGUUCAUAUCGACGGCGGUGUUUGGCACCUCGAUGUCGGCUCAUCACAUCCUGGGGCUGAAGUAGGUCCCAAGGGUAUGGCUGUUCGCCAUUUAAAGUGGUACGCGAGCUGGGUUUAGAACGUCGUGAGACAGUUCGGUCCCUAUCUGCCGUGGGCGCUGGAGAACUGAGGGGGGCUGCUCCUAGUACGAGAGGACCGGAGUGGACGCAUCACUGGUGUUCGGGUUGUCAUGCCAAUGGCACUGCCCGGUAGCUAAAUGCGGAAGAGAUAAGUGCUGAAAGCAUCUAAGCACGAAACUUGCCCCGAGAUGAGUUCUCCCUGACCCUUUAAGGGUCCUGAAGGAACGUUGAAGACGACGACGUUGAUAGGCCGGGUGUGUAAGCGCAGCGAUGCGUUGAGCUAACCGGUACUAAUGAACCGUGAGGCUUAACCUU